rnacentral:rRNA from 1 species
AGAGUUUGAUCAUGGCUCAGGAUGAACGCUAGCUACAGGCUUAACACAUGCAAGUCGAGGGGCAUCAGGAUCUAGCAAUAGAUUGCUGGCGACCGGCGCACGGGUGAGUAACACGUAUCCAACCUGCCUUAUACUCGGGGAUAGCCUUUCGAAAGAAAGAUUAAUACCCGAUGUUAUAGUCUAACCGCAUGAUUUGACUAUAAAAGAUUUUCGGUAUAAGAUGGGGAUGCGUUCCAUUAGGCAGUUGGUGGGGUAACGCCACAAACCUUCGAUGGAUAGGGGUUCUGAGAGGAAGGUCCCCCANAUUGGAACUGAGACACGGUCCAAACUCCUACGGGAGGCA